rnacentral:lncRNA from 1 species
GUUUGUGAGGAUCACAAACUGAAUUCUAAAGCCCUACUGAAACAAAGCGGGUAACAGCAAUGAGUGAAGAAGCCCAUCUAUGAGAAGAAUACUUCUCAGAAGCUGGCCGGCCUUGCUGAUCCGUGUGGGACAGUUCCUCUACCCCGGCCCACAGUCAGCCUCUUGGAGAAGGAGAACCAGAUUCUCUCGCCGCAGCACUCAGUUAGGGACAAGAGGGUGUGAGGUUGGAAGAGGAAGGCCGACGGCUGAAGUCUGAAGGACUCUGUCAAGACAACAGCAGUGAUUCCGGUCUACCAAAAAAGCAGGUCAGAGACUUAAGACAGAAAUAGAAACAAUCCCAGAACUGACAGGUAAGGAAGUGACAGUGAAUGGGACCAUGGCAAUAGUCCCAUCUCAACAUGAAC